rnacentral:rRNA from 1 species
ACUCCUACGGGAGGCAGCAGUAGGGAAUCUUCCGCAAUGGACGAAAGUCUGACGGAGCAACGCCGCGUGAGUGAUGAAGGUUUUCGGAUCGUAAAGCUCUGUUGUUAGGGAAGAACAAGUAUCUGUUGAAUAAGCAGGUACCUUGACGGUACCUAACCAGAAAGCCACGGCUAACUACGUGCCAGCAGCCGCGGUAAUACGUAGGUGGCAAGCGUUGUCCGGAAUUAUUGGGCGUAAAGCGCGCGCAGG